rnacentral:rRNA from 1 species
GACGUAGGGCGCGAGCGUUGUCCGGAUUUAUUGGGCGUAAAGAGCUCGUAGGCGGCUUGUCGCGUCGUUCGUGAAAACCCGGGGCUCAACUCCGGGCUUGCGGGCGAUACGGGCAGGCUAGAGUUCGGUAGGGGAGACUGGAAUUCCUGGUGUAGCGGUGAAAUGCGCAGAUAUCAGGAGGAACACCGAUGGCGAAGGCAGGUCUCUGGGCCAUAACUGACGCUGAGAAGCGAAAGCAUGGGGAGCGAACAGG